GUCUCUCUGCCAUGUUUGUGAGGUUAUCAAGCCCCUGCGGAAUAUUUAUAAAACGGGUGUUUUUCAGGUCGUGGUGUGCUGCCCCUUUUUGCGGGAUUUGCCUGAAACGAUACAAAGAUGCCCACAUAAUUGGGAACUCGCUGUGAGGCCCCAAACCCACGGCAGAGUGGAGAGACU
rnacentral:other from 1 species